rnacentral:rRNA from 1 species
UACGGGGGGGGCAAGCGUUGUUCGGAAUUACUGGGCGUAAAGGGUUCGUAGGUGGCUUGCUAAGUCAGACGUGAAAUCCCUCAGCUUAACUGGGGAACUGCGUCUGAUACUGGCGAGCUUGAGUGCAGGAGAGGAACGCGGAAUUCCAGGUGUAGCGGUGAAAUGCGUAGAUAUCUGGAGGAACACCGGUGGCGAAGGCGGCGUUCUGGACUGCAACUGACACUGAAGAACGAAAGCCAGGGGAGCAAACGGG